UACGUAGGGUGCGAGCGUUGUCCGGAAUUACUGGGCGUAAAGAGCUCGUAGGUGGUUUGUCGCGUUGUCCGUGAAAACUCACAGCUUAACUGUGGGCGUGCGGGCGAUACGGGCAGACUGGAGUACUGCAGGGGAGACUGGAAUUCCUGGUGUAGCGGUGGAAUGCGCAGAUAUCAGGAGGAACACCGGUGGCGAAGGCGGGUCUCUGGGCAGUAACUGACGCUGAGGAGUGAAAGCGUGGGGAGCGAACAGG
rnacentral:rRNA from 1 species